UACGUAGGCAGCAAGCGUUGUUCGGAGUUACUGGGCGUAAAGGGUGUGUAGGCGGUUUUUUAAGUUUGGUGGGAAAUCUCCCGGCUUAACUGGGAGGGUGCGCCGAAUACUGAGGAGCUAGAGUGCGGGAGAGGAUAGUGGAAUUCCUGGUGUAGCGGUGAAAUGCGUAGAUAUCAGGAGGAACACCGGUGGUGUAGACGGCUAUCUGGACCGUGACUGACGCUGAGACACGAAAGCGUGGGUAGCAAACAGG
rnacentral:rRNA from 1 species